rnacentral:tRNA from 1 species
GCGCGAGUGGCGGAAUGGUAGACGCGCUGGCUUCAGGUGCCAGUGUCCUUGCGGGCGUGGGGGUUCGAGUCCCCCCUCGCGCA